GUGGGGAAUCUUAGACAAUGGGCGCAAGCCUGAUCUAGCCAUGCCGCGUGAGCGAUGAAGGCCUUAGGGUUGUAAAGCUCUUUCGUGGGGGAAGAUAAUGACUGUACCCCAAGAAGAAGCCCCGGCUAACUCCGUGCCAGCAGCCGCGGUAAUACGGAGGGGGCUAGCGUUGUUCGGAAUUACUGGGCGUAAAGCGCACGUAGGCGGACCAGAAAGUCAGAGGUGAAAGCCCGGAGCUCAACCCCGGAACUGCCUUUGAAACUCCUGGUCUUGAGGUCGAGAGAGGUGGGUGGAAUUCCGAGUGUAGAGGUGAAAUUCGUAGAUAUUCGGAGGAACACCAGUGGCGAAGGCGGCCCACUGGCUCGAUACUGACGCUGAGGUGCGAAAGCGUGGGGAGCAAACAGGAUUAGAUACCCCGGUAGUCC
rnacentral:rRNA from 1 species